CAGGACUCGCAAGACUCCCGUAAACACACUGUGAACUUUACCUACAAUCAGCAAACCGUUGGCCUCGUCGGCGGGUGCCUACGGGCGCGGUCUUCGGGCGCUCCGGGGGCGCCUCCAGCCUCCGCCGGCGGCCCCUAAACUCCUGUCUCUGUAACGUUGGCAUCUCUCGAGCAGACUAUAUAGAACGAGUCA
rnacentral:misc_RNA from 1 species